AAUCUUCCGCAAUGGACGAGAGUCUGACGGAGCAACGCCGCGUGAGUGAUUAAGGUCUUCGGAUCGUAAAACUCUGUUGUUAGGGAAGAACAAGUAUCGGUCGUAUAGGGCGGUACCUUGACGGUACCUAACCAGAAAUCCAAGGCUAACUACGUGCCCGCAUCCGCGGUAAUACGUAGGUGGCAAGGGUUAUCCGGAAUUAUUGGGGGUUAAGCGCGCGCAGGCGGUUUAUUAAGUCUGAUGUGAAAGCCCACGGCUCAACCGUGGAGGGUCAUUGGAAACUGGGAAGCUUGAGUGCAGAAGAGGAGAGUGGAAUUCCAUGCGUAGCGGUGAAAUGCGUAGAGAUAUGGAGGAACACCAGUGGCGAAGGCGACUCUCUGGUCUGCAACUGACGCUGAGGCGCGAAAGCGUGGGGAGCGAACA
rnacentral:rRNA from 1 species